CUGACAACCGGUGCAUGAAACCCCUGUCACAUACUCCCUAGAUGGCUCAAUCAAUCAUGACACUUUCAUGUAAAAUCUUUAGUAUUGUGAGCCCUUAAAAGGGACAGAAUUUGUGCACUCAAGAAGCUCGGAUUUUGAGAUGUUAGUCUGCUGAUGCUUCCAGCUGACUAAAGCCACUUCCUCCACUCCCUCAGUGUCUGUGAGGUUUUGUCUGCAGCUCAUCCUGCUACAUUUCUUGUUUCCCUGAUCAGGAAGCGAGGUAACUGACGGACGGCUGAGGCAUCCCCUUAGGCAGCUUAGGCCUGCUCUAUGGAGCAUCCCUGUGGGAGACUCUGGCCUGCCUUAGUGACGUGAUCCAAAGAGUGAUCCCAGGUAGGCAAUUGCCCUGGUGGAAUGCCUUGCCAGAGCAGCAUGUGCCAGGCCCACAUGGAGGAUCAACGCAGUGGCUGAACACAAGGGAGGAACUGGCACUUGGAGUGCAGACAUCUGAAACUUGGUUUUUGCAUGAAGAGGAGCAGGAGUCUCGAAGGCACAGCCAGGCAAGCUAAGUUUCCACUUUAUUCUCUGGAUAUUGAAAUAACAUAAUGACCACAGGCUGUCUUGAAGGCUCUUUUUCUUAACUGCAGUUAUUUUUACUUGUCUUCACUCAUGUAACUUUAAUGAGCAGAAACUUUGAAUUUAAGAGGCAGUUCUGAAAAAAAUCAAUACACUUCACCAUCACUCAAAACUUUUAGUAGCAUAAUCUGAAUCUGAUUAUAUCUUCAUAUUACUAAGUUUGCAAUUUGUUUUCUAAUUAAAAAGUAAAACAGGAGAAUAAAUUUUUGUUGCCAAUUUGAAAGGUCAUUGCAUGUUUUAGCACAGAUGGAAUUAUAAUUAUUUUUGAAGUUACUACAACAAUGAAUUUUCUUUUCAAAAGCCCAAUUACUUUAAAAAAAUCAAAAUAGCUUAUUGGAGAUUCUGUCAUUUGGUUUACAUUUCCCUUGAUAGUGACAAUUUAGACUUGUUCCUGAUGAUUUUGGAGAGCUGAGGGAGCAUCAUUUCUGACAUGCCUUUUUCCUACAUUUAUAUACAUUUUCAUUUAGUUUUCAGCUUAUCCAAUGGUCUUUUCAUUUAUGUUUUUAUUAUGCACUGUAGCAUGUACCUAUUAGAAUAAAGAUGUUAAACUGUGCACCCUACAAGAAAAUUAAAAGAAAAAUAUAUAAGUAACACUUCUCUGAAAUGGAUGGAUGCAGCUGUUGAGAGCAUUCUACUCAUUGAUUUUCACUGUGACUUUACUGAGUUGAAUUGUUGCCAGUGUUCCCAGGAGGCAUGAUUCCCACUCAAGACAAUGUUCUAGAUAUAGUAUUCUUAUUUCUGACACUCUAUGUUCUCAUUACUUUACAUAUUAGUUAAACUUUAUUUGGACACCAGGCAUUUUAGAUUUGAUCUUGUUGGAUGCUCAAGAUCAUCCAACAAGAUGAUCUAAUAUUUUCAUGUGUGUGUGUCCCAGUAAAUAGUCCUGAGCUUUAUUCUGGGGUUCAGUUAGGUAUAUUGAAAACAGUUUGGUCCUUUUUCAUUAAUGCGUAUUAGGUGGUACCAGAGCAACAUUUAAUCUAGGCUAAACUAUCCACUAAUAAAGAUGCUAGACCUUUCUGCGUACUUUACCCAAUCCCAUUGACUUGUGAACUGUUAAACUAGUCUAGCUGGUGAGGACUGCCACUAUUCCCAGAUGUGGCUAAACACAAACAACUCCCCUCUCUGACUAAUUCAGGUGGUUCUUUCCUGCCCUCAGGGAGUUUCGCAAUACACUGUCCUGCUGAAUACUGAGGGGCAUCCAUGGUAGGUCUCUAGAUUUCCUUCUCUUCUUCAAGGCUCUCUCCUGCAAAGGAUGCCAUAUUUUUCUCUGGUUCUGAUUCUCUGACUCUGAUUCUCUGAUUCUGAACUUUGUCUUCUCAAUUCACAGAGUUUCACUGGGCUUUUUCUGAAAUCCACUUCCAUGUGCAGUACCCUGGAAACUCUCUGUUUACGAGCCUGGAAAGCUGUGGGGUUCAAUUCCUUGUUUUGCCCAUCUCUCAUUGCCUUUUGCUGACUGUCAUUAAAAGUG
rnacentral:lncRNA from 1 species